rnacentral:rRNA from 1 species
AUUGAACGCUGGCGGCAUGCCUUACACAUGCAAGUCGAACGGUAACAGGUCUUCGGAUGCUGACGAGUGGCGAACGGGUGAGUAAUACAUCGGAACGUGCCUAGUAGUGGGGGAUAACUACUCGAAAGAGUGGCUAAUACCGCAUGAGAUCUACGGAUGAAAGCAGGGGAUCGCAAGACCUUGUGCUACUAGAGCGGCCGAUGGCGGAUUAGGUAGUUGGUAGGAUAAAAGCUUACCAAGCCGACGAUCCGUAGCUGGUCUGAGAGGACGAUCAGCCACACUGGGACUGAGACACGGCCCAGACUCCUACGGGAGGCAGCAGUGGGGAAUUUUGGACAAUGGGCGAAAGCCUGAUCCAGCAAUGCCGCGUGCAGGAUGAAGGCCUUCGGGUUGUAAACUGCUUUUGUACGGAACGAAAAGCCCCGGGUUAAUACCCUGGGGUCAUGACGGUACCGUAAGAAUAAGCACCGGCUAACUACGUGCCAGCAGCCGCCGUAA